GCCUGUUUAGCUCAGUCGGUAGAGCACUUCGUUGGUAACGAAGAGGUCACCAGUUCGAAUCUGGUAGCAGGCACCA
rnacentral:tRNA from 3 species